rnacentral:rRNA from 1 species
ACAGGAAGCAGCUUGCUGCUUCGCUGACGAGUGGCGGACGGGUGAGUAAUGUCUGGGAAAUGCCUGAUGGGGGAUAACUACUGGAAACGGUAGCUAAUACCGCAUACGUCGCAAGACCAAAGAGCCUUCGGGCCUCUUGCUCGGAUGUGCCCAGAUGGAUUAGCUAGUAGGUGGGGUAACGGCUCACCUCAGGCGACGAUCCCUAGCGGUCUGAGAGGAUGACCAGCCACACUGGAACUGAGACACGUCCAGACUCCUACGGGAAGGCAGCAGUGGGGAAUAUUGCACAAUGGGCGCAAGCCUGAUGCAGCCAUGCUUAUACUAAUGUCCGCGUGUAUGAAGAAGGCCUCGGGGUUGUAAAGUACUUUCAGCGGGGAGGAAGGCGAUAAGGUUAAUAACUUGUCGAUUGACGUUACCUCGCGCAGAAGAAUAAAGCACCGGCUAAUCCGUGCCAGCAGCCGCGGUAAUACGGAGGGUGCAAGCGUUAAUCGGAAUUACUGGGCGUAAAGCGCACGCAGGCGGUCUGUCAAGUCGGAUGUGAAAUCCCCGGGCUCAACCAGGGAACUGCAUUCGAAACUGGCAGGCUAGAGUCUUGU